rnacentral:lncRNA from 1 species
CUGCCUGCUUGCCGGUGCGCUGCCCGCGCCCGCGCCGUGCCUGCCGCCACCGCCGCGGUCCGGGUUUUGCGGGCGGCCGGAGCUGUAUUUCCAGCGCUGUCCAUCGCUCGGUGCUGUUGGCCCUCUCUCCGUCUGAUCCGAGCCGGAGCAGUGCGGGGCGCCCCACGGGAUCAGAGCGCUCCCCCGCCGGGACUCCGCUCCUCACAUCCUCCUGCUGGGACCCGGCUACAUUUCCAGCCAAGCCUGGCUUUAUUAUGUGUCUCUGCAGUGCAGCCCCAGCAGCCGGAUCGGGAGGAGGAGAGCCAGCGACCACAAAGAAGACAGGAGCGCGAGGGAGGCUGGCGGGCGGGCCGGCGCCGGCUGGAGCGCGGAGGAGCCGGGGCGCAGCCGCCGCCGCCGCUGCCCGGGAGGACGGGAGCCCGGCCGCCGCCGCCUGCUCUUCCUCCUCCUCCUCCUCCUCCGCCACCGCGGCCGCCGCCUCCCCCCUCUCCCAGCCCCUGGUCCAUGGAGGCAGCUAGCGGGGCCCGCGACUUGGCACCGGCCUGGGGAUCGGCUGCGCGUCGCGCGCUGAGCACCGCAGCCCGAGGGCAGGCAGCGGCGGCCCGGCGCACCGGCUGAGCAAUGCCCGUGGCACGGGUGCCCCUGCCCGCCUCCGCCUGAGCGCCCCCGCGCACCCCUUACUCCUCCGGGGAGCUGGCAUCAGACCCUGCCGAGAGCUAGAGAAGGGGGCGUGAGCCGGGGACCCCCAGCCGCGGCUUACAAGCCACUGAGGCCGUUUCGAGCCCCCCCCCCUUCCAAGUAGGCUGAGUUGAGGCCCCCCCCCCAUCCAUCAUAAUCUCCAAACCAGGCAUUUGGGCAUUUUUGAGCCAUUAAUAUUUAUUAUUUUUUUUUGUGUGUGUGUGUGUGUGCGGCAGGGGAUAAUUUGAAGGCUUUUUUUUUUUUCGGGGGGUACUAAGCUCCUGUGCUCCGGACCGCCUCCGGUCUCCUCGCCCCUUGAGACCCUCCCGGCUCCAGCCGGUUCCCCCUCCUCAGAUGGGUUCAUUGUGAGCUCCGCACCGGGCUGUGUGGCCGGACGCCUGCAAACUUUGCACAAAAAUCCGGCAAGGGGCGGAGGAGAAGGAGGAGGAGG